UGGGCUUCUAUAAAUUAUUUCCUUUAAAACAAGAGUUUCAGAGUUUCCAAAUUUGUUCUAUGUGUUAAUGAAAACUAGUGUGUAUGCUUAUGACUCAGACACUCAGCAGAUCACCACUAACUGUGUUGAUAGUUUUGACUUAAAUACAAUUUAAAUUGCUUUUUUUUUUAAGAGAUAUUUUGUUUUUAUUUAUUUGAAAGGCAGAGUUACAGAGAGAGGUAGAGAAAGAGAGAGAGAGAGAGAGAGAGAGAGAGGUCUUCCAUCCAUUGGUUCAUUUCCCAAAUGGCUUCAGUGACUGGCACUGAGUCAGGUCAAAGCCAGGAGCCAGGAGUUUCCUCUGUCUCCUACGUGGGUGCAGAGGACAAAGCGCUUAGGCUGUCCUCCACUGCUUUCCAAGGCCAUUAGUAGGGAAGUGGAACAGGUGGGACUCAAAUCGGCGCCCAUAUGGGAUGCUGGCACUGCAAGGGUUUAACCCGUUGUACCACAGUGCUAGCCCCUUAAAUUGCUUGUAUUUUUAAUCAUUUUAAUUUUUUACUCAUAUUCAUGGCUUUAAUACCACAACACAAGGCUAUAGAUUAAUGAGGUGCAUACCAAAUUCUGCAACUUUAUCUCAAGGUGAUCUUUAUCAUGGCCAAGAAGAAAUCAUCUGUUGGUUUUCAGGUAAAACACCAAGUUGUCUCUAGGACCUUAAAGUAUGUUUACUAAGAAAAAAUACAGUGGCCAUUUUGUAUAACUUGGCAUUCCUGUAUUAUGAAUGAAAACUUCCCACCUGCUGAUUUUUUGAGACAUGCUUAACAUUAGUAGUUUGAAACCUUUGCUGAUCUUUUAGAACCAAAACAGAACAUACAGAAUAAAGUACUUGCUUUUUUAUAUGAAAAAUGACAAAAUUUCAAAUAUCAUUUUGCAAACUCUUUUCAUCUAUUUUUGAGGCAAUGUCAUGGCCUUAUUUUAGUGUUUCAAAAUAAUGUGAUUUCAAAAUAAAUUCUUUUGCACAAUUAAUUUAAACAGUGGGCAUCACUUGUUAAAUAGAAACUAAGAAUUGCCAAUAUUUGUCUUUAUUACAAACAUUGUAAAGAUCACAUAAAGAUGAAUUUUAUAAUACUAUCUUAAAUACUAUAGCAAUUUAAAGUAAAACAGCUUUUCUUUAAAAAUUACCUUUCAAUCAUAUAAAAUGAAAAAUGAGACAAUUAUUAAAAUCCCUAAGGACUUCUAAAGAUUAUAUAGUACUUGGAAAUAUUAUACAGUGGCAUGAAGGGCUGUUGUUGUGGCAUAGUGGGUAAGGCUGUCACCUUUGACUCUGGAGUCACAUAUGGGCACCAGUUUGUGUUCUGGCUCUCCACUUUUGAUCCAGCUCCCUGUGAAUGCACCCGGGAAAAUGCCGAAGAUGGCCCACGUGCUUGAGCCACAGCACCUAUGUGAAAGACCUGGAUGAAGUUCCUGGCCCAGCCCUGGCCAUGGCAGCUAUCUGGGGAGUGAACCAGUGGAUGGAAGAUCCCUCUCUCUGUCUCUCCCUCUCUCUUUGUGACUUACAAAUAAAUAAGUAAAUCUUAAAAAAGAAAAAAUAAAGUGCCAUGAAAGGGGUUUGUGAAUCCAAGUGGGAAAACAUUGACGGUUCCUAAAAAUCUGAUCCAGCCGUAGAAUACGCUUCAUAUUCCCCUCAAAAGGUUGUUUUCUAAAAAAUAAUUUCCACUUAAUCCAGCUUUUAUUAUUUUGAUUGUUUGUUAAAAUGAAAAUAAAAAAGUAGUAAAAAUGAUAUCCAUAGCACUUUCCCUAAGUUGUUAGCAUGCAUUGUCAGGGCCUGAGAAGGGACACAGAAAAAUCAUCCAUGGGAGGAGCUGGUGCCCGCUGACUUAGCCCAGCCUUUAUCAGUACCUUGCAAUCCGAAGCCAGGAGCCAGGAGCCAGGAGCCUCUUCCAGGUCUCCCACGAAAGGGCAGGGACCCAAGGAUUCAGCCAUCUUCUACUGCUUUCCCAGGCCAUAGCAGAGAGCUGGAUUGGAAGUGGAACAGCCGGGUCUCGAACCAGCACCCAUAUGGGAUGCUGGUGCUUCAGGCCAGGGCAUUAACCCACUGAGCCACAACACCGGCCCCAAACAAUUUUUGAUGCAUUUCUUAAUACCCCUUUCACAUAAUUGUAAUCAUGUAAUCCCCUGCUUUGUGUCCUCUUUUGCUAUUUUCUGAAUGCUUUCUAAAUUGUUAUAUAGCCUUCAUUAUAUUCCCUUUCAAUGGCUAUGUAAUAGUCCACAAAGUGGAUGGAUCCACCAUUUCCUAUUUUUGGACAGUUAGGUCCCUAUUUUAAAUAAUGCUUCAAAUGACCUCUUACCUACUUUAUCUUGUUUCCAUAGACUGAGUAUUCCCAUCGGGACUACAGGGUGAAAAUAUAGCCACACAUUCAUAGAUGGUUCCUUUCUGCUGUGGGCUGAACUGUGUGACCCAGCACAGAUGCUGAAGUUCUAACCUGGAGUAUCUCAGAUGUAGCUGGAGACAGUCUCUAAAGAGGGAAGUUACAUUCUGAUUUGCAAUUAACUAUUCAAAAAGUACCACUUGUUGAGUUCAGAAGAAAUUUUAUUCAUGCACUUAAUCGAAAACAACACAUCUGAAUAGAUUGAAUAUGGAAGCAGAUCUGAGACUCCUGCUGUCUACUACCAAGUUGCAAGGAUUUGCACCCAAAACUGGUGCGUUUAUUUAUUUAUUUUUUUAGCUUCUCAUAUAGGAAAAGCAACUAAUUCUACAUUACUCGUUUAUUUUUUUUAUUUGGAAAAUAUAGUUAUGA